rnacentral:rRNA from 2 species
AGCACGGGGGCAACCCUGGUGGCGAGUGGCGAACGGGUGAGGAAUACAUCGGAACGUGUCUAUAAGUGGGGGAUAACGCAUCGAAAGGUGUGCUAAUACCGCAUAAUCUCUCAGGAGAAAAGCAGGGGAUCGCAAGACCUUGCGCUUUAGGAGCGGCCGAUGCCUGAUUAGCUAGUUGGUAAGGUAAAAGCUUACCAAGGCUUCGAUCAGUAGCUGGUCUGAGAGGACGACCAGCCACACUGGGACUGAGACACGGCCCAGACUCC